rnacentral:rRNA from 1 species
AGAGCGAACGCUGGCGGCAGGCCUAACACAUGCAAGUCGAGCGGCCGUAGCAAUACGGCAGCGGCAGACGGGAGAGUAACACGUGGGAACGUACCCUUUGGUUCGGAACAACACAGGGAAACUUGUGCUAAUACCGGAUAAGCCCUUACGGGGAAAGAUUUAUCGCCAAGGGAUCGGCCCGCGUCUGAUUAGCUAGUUGGUGGGGUAACGGCCCACCAAGGCGACGAUCAGUAGCUGGUCUGAGAGGAUGAUCAGCCUCACUGGGACUGAGACACGGCCCAGACUCCUACGGGAGGCAGCAGUGGGGAAUAUUGGACAAUGGGCGCAAGCCUGAUCCAGCCAUGCCGCGUGGAUGAUGAAGGCCCUAGGGUUGUAAAGUCCUUUCGGCGGGGAAGAUAAUGACGGUACCCGCAGAAGAGCCCGGCUAACUCGCGCCAGCAGCCGC